GCUGUGCUGGCUGAGUGGUUAAGGCAUUAGACUCAUAAUCCAAUAGGGUUUCCCUGGGCAGGUUCAAACCCUGCUCACAGCG